CUAACGAAAUUAUGUUCCAUUGUUUUGUAUCAACACAUUCAUAUUAUAUGACAUGAUGAAAUAAAACUUGAAACUCGAAAGUCGACAAUUAACUUUAGGCGGGUUACCACAUUCUCAUUUCGGUGUCAGCUAAACUAGGUUCCCGUUAUACAUUCGAAAUUUAAACAGAACACGGGAACCAAACUAAAAUGGGGAUCUGGCUAAAAGGCUGACCGGAGAGCUGACCAUAAAGGGAAAAAGCUGGCAAAGUUGAAAAAGGCAGACCAAAAACAUAUGUUUCUGUAUCUGUUUAAACACGUAUGAGGACCACUUCUGGCAUAUUUAAACACUUUCAGAUGUUGUCCGCUGGGGUACAACGGUUCAUGCAGUCAAAGCCAGGCGGCAUGAGUUACGACGGUACGAGGAGGAAAGCGGCAUUAUAAUUACGUACAUGUCACGGUUUCUGGCCCUCGCCGGGUUCACUGGCUCGUACCCGGAAGUGCUCCAGUGAAAAGGCCGCGUCGAUGUGACGGCUUCCUGGCCGCAUAUGUGAAGCCAGGGACCAUUAAGGCGGUGUAUGGAUACAUCAAGAAGUUCGUACUUUGGCUUCACGGGGAAGGCCUCAUUACGCUUGAGGUGAAGCAGAAGGCCGUCUGCCUGCUGGCAAACUUGAUUACGUCUGUUCGCAAGGAACGUAAUAAGCGGAGGGUGAAAGUGCGGACGAGUGCUGAGCACAGACUCCCGAAAGAUCACAUUCAGACGGUUAUUCGCCGGUUUAGGGUCUCGGACUAUGUUAGUGGUAACAUAAAACAGUUUAUAUGCUCGGACCAAUCCAAAUGGAAGGCGAUCAGGAGCAUUCUGAUACGAAUGCUUUCGCUGAUAAAUGGGUCAAGGCCAGGUGAAUUCGUGAACAUGAGGUAUUCACAUGUGUAUCGGGCCACUCCGUUGGCUGACGGAAACCAUAUGACUGUGACAUUGGAGCAUCAUAAGACCAGUGCACAUUUCGUGGCAAUGUUCACAUGCCACUGAUGUGUACGAUCCCCUGCGUGCAUACUGCCAGUACACAAGGAGUCUUAUAUGGAGAGGGGAUGCGACCACCGAUCUGUACGUUUUUCCCGCAGAGGACCCAAAUCGAGACACCCCUGUUUUGCAGACGUAUGUGAACACGUAGAUUCAGGCGGUCUGGAAAGUGGUAUUCUGAGCACCGAACCAGUAUGACUGCAAACCGGAAGUUGAUGACGACCUUGUCCAGGCAGCAAGACAUCACCAAGAAAGGGCAGACUGCACAUUUGCCUAGCCCUUACCCUAAGGGACCUGAAGGCAAGGGAACGUCAGUGCCAGUUGUGCUACAAGUAACAGUGGACGUACACGUAGAUGCCGAAACCCCGCCACUCAUCAACAAUUGUGAGCCUGGCAUAGUUCAACUUCCGGAAGAGGCAGCCUGCCCAUCAAUAAGCCACGGCGCCCACGAGGAGGAGGACUUGAGCACCGAGGUCAUAGGCUUUUCUGUCCUGAAGGACAAGUGAAUAAUUACUAGUUGCUUUGUGAUUUUUUCUUGUGAUUUUUAUUUGAAUUGUUAAAAAUCAUUUUGAAAAUAG